UACGUAGGGGGCAAGCGUUGUCCGGAUUUAUUGGGCGUAAAGAGCUCGUAGGCGGUUUGGUAAGUCGGGUGUGAAAUCUCGGAGCUUAACUCCGAAACUGCAUUCGAUACUGCCGUGCUUGAGGACUGGAGAGGAGACUGGAAUUUACGGUGUAGCGGUGAAAUGCGUAGAUAUCGGAAGGAAGACCAGUGGCGAAGGCGGGUCUCUGGACAGUGACUGACGCUGAGGCGCGAAGGCCAGGGGAGCAAACGGG
rnacentral:rRNA from 1 species